rnacentral:rRNA from 1 species
GAUCCUGGCUCAGAACGAACGCUGGCGGCAUGCCGAACACAUGCAAGUCGAACGGGAUCCUAGCUUGCUAGGUGAGAGUGGCGGACGGGUGAGUAACACGUGGGAAUCUGCCUUUGGUUCGGGAUAACCGCGGGAAACUGCGGCUAAUACCGAAUGCCCUCGAGAGAGGAAAGAUUUAUCGCCAGAAGAGGGGCCCGCGUCCGAUUAGGUAGUUGGUGAGGGUAAAUGGCUCACCAAGCCGACGAUCGGUAGCUGGGUCUGAGAGGAUGAUCAGCCACACUGGGACUGAGAUACGGCCCAGACUCCUACGGGAGGCAGCAGUGGGGAAUAUUGGACAAUGGGCGAAAGCCUGAUCCAGCCAUGCCGCGUGAGUGAUGAAGGCCCUAGGGUUGUAAAGCUCUUUCAACGGUGAAGAUAAUGACGGUAACCGUAGAAGAAGCCCCGGCUAACUUCGUG